rnacentral:tRNA from 1 species
AAAAUCCGUCGACUUUCGAAGUCGUGAGGGUUCAAGUCCCUCUAUCCCCAA